AGCUCCAGACCCCUGAACCUCCUCCUGGUGCUCCUCCUCCUCCUGCUCCUCUGCUGCAGCUGAUGUUCCUCUCUGUGUCUGUUCUCCAUCUUCUCCUCCACGACCUUCACUUUGAGCUCUCUCUGCAGUGUUUUUCCCGUUUCCCUGCCUCCUCACCGUCCUCUGAUCCUCCUGUUUGAUUGUUUAAUUGGACUGAAAAGGUGAGGAGUGAAUCUGUGGGGAUGAAGUAAAGCUGGUUCAUGUAAAGAAGACGCUCCUUCAGAGCUCCUCAUCAGAUCUGCUGCCUGUUCUUUGUGUCAGAGCAGAUUUCAUAUCUGAUUGUCUUCUUGUGAAUCAUGAAGCAGCUCUGAUCAUCCCUGACGUUAAAGAGUUAAAACUUUAAUUACACCCCACAUUAGUAGAGAUGUCUGCUGUCUGACUAUAAUGAAUUAGACCCGCUCCGAUCCGCCUGUCGAUCUCCAGCUCCAUCCUACCCUCACACAUGAACAAAAUCCUGAGAUACUUGAACUACAAAAUCAUCUUAAUAAGACGAAAGUUUCAGACAAUCCCAAAAUAAAUGACAAUGGGUAACUGAAUCUGAACAUCCUCCAACAUCUUGAUGUUUCCUCUGAGUCGUGUUAUAAAAAAAUCUCCUGAUGUUUUUCAUCCAGAUUCCCUCCAGCUCUUUGUGUUUUCCUCUGUAAUUAUAAAGACAUCUUCCCAUUCUCCCUCAGAUAUGACCAAACCUCCCUCUCUGUACCAUCGACAUUUAGUCUUGAAAACUUUGAUAUAAUCUAGAUCAGGGGUCGGCAACCUUAAACACUCAAAGAGCCACUUGGACCAGUUUCCCACAGAAAAGAAAACACAGGGAGCCACAAAACCUCUUUGACAUCUAAAAUGAAGAUAACAUUGCAUAUAUAUAUUUUUUUUCCUUUAUACAAAGUCUAUAAAAAACUGUAGCGAGUUGCAUUUAUGAAAAAAAUGAACUAUUUCGGCGAGUGUCUGUCUUCUUCUGUAGUUAAACCGCAAGAUAUCAAAAUCUACCCGGAUACAGCAAUGCUGCUUUUUGAUUGGCUGUUCAGUAGAUAUACUUUAUUUGAUUGGCUUGUGCGUGGCACGCAGCUUCUGAACUCUCGGAGGAACUCAGUUGAUUUCCCCCAGUCCCAUAGUUGAAGAAGUGCAACUUGGUGGACAUCACCGUGUUCAUUUAAAUGCGUGAGAAAUACAAUGUGUGGUGUGUGAGCGUGUGAACGAGUGGGAAUGCGUGUGUCAUACGCUGAAUGCGUGAGACUUGAGAGCCCUGUGCUCACGCAUCAUCGAUGUACCCCCGAGCCAUGCAAAACGGUCUUUGCAAAUGUUGCACUGAACGCCUUCCUUUUCAGUCUUGGUGAAGUUUUCCCACACCACUGAUGUUUUAGGUCGGGAUUUGGGUUGGGUUGUGUCCAUGUUUUUCUCAGCCGCUGCCUCGGCCAUGGCUGUUUCUUUUCUGUGCGUCCUGCUGAUGUUUACACGCCGGUGUCCAUGGACAUAUAUAAAGACCCGACGAAUCGAUUACAGAAUUUGUUGGCAACGGAUUUUUUCGUCACGACGAAUCGACUUAAUCGAUUCGUUGUUGCAGCCUUCAUAGUAACAAGAGCAUUAUAAUCUUUGAAUUUAGAAUAACAAAAAAUAAUAAUAAUAAAAUAAAAUGUAAUUAAGUAUUUCUUAAUUAUUUUACAAAUCCAUUGGGAGCCGCAGCUUAGGGAAGAAAGAGCUGCAUGCGGCUCCAGAGCCGCGGGUUGCCGACCCCUGAUCUAGAUUUUAAUUUCUGUCCACUCUCAGAUUCGUUAAUUGAGACAAAGAUCUUUAGAAUAAACUCGUCGAGUCCUGAAGACUGUAUUUGAUCGAUGCCUCACUGAGGUUUCUCUGUUUCACCAACAACAUGCAGUUAAACUCUCUCUCUGGUUUCAUCCUGCAGACCUAAUUUCCCUUCUUCGCUCGUUCUGCGGCGUCGACCUCAAAGACACUCUCUCUCUCUCUCUCUCUCUCUCUCUCUCUCUCCUCUGCGGUCCAAAUUGAUUUCCAGGAGUGAGUGUUUCAGCGCAUCAGCUCUGAUGGAUUAGCCCUUCAAAUGUGUUUUUGUCAGAGAGCAACUGAAGCCGGCUGCAUUUUGAGAAGACGCCGAGGUUACCUGAGUUCAAACCGGAGAUCAGACCUUUGACCUUUGCUCUGGGGUCAGAGAUGGAGAUGGUGAGAUUAAAAAUGUAAAAUGUAAUUAAAUUCAUAGAAUAAAGACACCAGGACGUGUUCAUCCUCGGUGGUAUAAAGAUGAUUCAGGUCUCAGUAAUAAUUCAGAUCCGUGUCUCAGCAGAUAAAAACCCGCCCCUGGUCUCCAGGACUCUGAUGAAGUCUGGUGAGUCACAUCUAAUUUUACGUCAUUAUUUUGUUGUUUCUCUUUUUUUUUUUUCUCUUGACCCUGUUGUCAUCAUGUUACUCUGCACUUUGAACACAUCGGUUUGUUUCCAGGGCAACGGGAACUCAAAUUAAAGGGAGAUCUGGUUCAAUCUGACCUUCUCCGAAUGAACCCGGAGCUCAAAGAAACACAUUUAGAGGAUCCAGGUUAGACUCUGUGACGCUCAGAAUGACAUCCGACAGAACCAGACCCGGUCCGACAUGUCAAAUCAAGAGUUUAUGAUGAGGCAGAAACAGAAAAACAGACGUGUGUCCUCGUCUUCAUGUUUGUUCAUCAGGUAAAAAUAGAGAUUUAAAAAUGUCUAACAUCAGAUCAGUGAACGGAGGUCUGCGUCAGACUCUCAUGUAAAUGAAAAUUCAUCAUUACGAACUCACAGUCCGACUCCUCCUGUGGCCUUUUUACUCGGAGCCCAGGGGAAGGUAGGG
rnacentral:lncRNA from 1 species